CUCAAAGCAGCCGCAAGCCUGGUAUUUCUCUCUUUUGUCCUCCAUUGGAGAGCAUGGUUGUGCCAAGGCUCUCUAGCCAGGACAGCCCAUCCUCAGGCCACCCAGCUCCGUGAGUGAGUUCCCUGCACAGCCUGUGACUGACUCACCGAUGCAGUGGGGCUGAUCUUCACAUGGCACCCCAAGCAGGCUUUUCCAGUUCACAUCUGCCAACAAGGCAGCCAAGGGGGUGGUUUAGGAAGUAGAGAAAAGGUGAAAAGGCAGCGGAGGGAGCCGGCUGUCCUGUGUCUCCUCUUUUUCCUGCCCCCAGUGACUUGCAUUUUCUCUGAGACAGCUGCCAUUCUAGUCUCCCAGCCAUUCUUAGGAAGAGACGUGCCUGUCUCUGGGAAGAGGCAACUUCUCUGCAUGUCAGAGGUCUGUUACAUUUCCCAGAAUGGUUCCCAGUGCUGGAGAUAAUUCCUUUUCGGAGAACCUACAUUUCUCACCUGCUGAUUGCAAUUAGCCACUACCAGCUGGGGCCUGGUGUGCAGCUGAAAAGCUAACAAGAAGUGGAGACCACGCGGAACUCAGACAGGGCAUAGGAUGUGCAUAAAUAAGCAACGGUGCCUGUGUUUAUGAGAUGCUCCUGUGAAUUCGAGGCUUCCCCACCCUCUGCAUAACUCUCCCUCUUCUGGCUUUGUGCUGCACACCCCUCCCCUAACUAUAUUUUUUGUCUCUGGUUUUGUAGCCUACGUUUAACAUCACAGUCACGAAUUUACCACUAAGUACAUUUUGUUAGGCAAUAAACAGCCUUGGAAGAAAAAUGAAAUCCGACUAGGACUUCUGUUCUAAUAAUGUCUGUGAGCUGUGGUGGAUUCAGGCAGGCCCCACAUGCAGGUCUUAGAGCUAACCUUGACCAUGAGGGCUAGUGGGGCUGGGAGAGGGCUCAGGGACCCCAAUUCAACUCCCUUAUUUUAUGGGGGAGGAUACUGAAUCCCAGAACGGGAGCAUGGCCUGUCCAAAGUCUUAAAGGAAGUCACAGGACUGGAU
rnacentral:lncRNA from 10 species